rnacentral:misc_RNA from 1 species
GAUGAAGAACGCAGCGAAAUGCGAUAAGUAAUGCGAAUUGCAGAUUUCAGUGAGUCAUCGAAUCUUUGAACGCACAUUGCGCCCGCCAGUAUUCUGGCGGGCAUGCCUGUUCGAGCGUCAUUUCAACCAUCAAGCCCCCGGGCUUGCGUUGGGGCCCUGCGGCUGCCGCAGGCCCCGAAAAGCAGUGGCGGGCUCGCUGUCACACCGAGCGCAGUAGCGAUUCUCGCUCCGGGCGUCGGCGGCGGGCACCGGCCGUGAAGCCCCCCCACAUCCACAAGGUUGACCUCGGAUCAGGUAGGAAUACCCGCUGAACUUAAGCAUAUCAAUAAGCGGAGGA